rnacentral:sRNA from 1 species
GGCCCGUACUAAGCAGACUGCCCGCAAGUCGACUGGCGGCAAGGCCCCGAGAAAGCAGCUGGCCACCAAAGCGGCCCGCAAGAGCGCGCCGGCCACGGGCGGGGUGAAGAAGCCGCACCGCUACCGGCCCGGCACCGUGGCUCUGCGGGAGAUCCGGCGCUACCAGAAGUCUACGGAGCUGCUGAUCCGCAAGCUGCCCUUCCAGCGGCUGGUACGCGAGAUCGCGCAGGACUUUAAGACGGACCUGCGCUUCCAGAGCUCGGCCGUGAUGGCGCUGCAGGAGGCCAGCGAGGCCUACCUGGUGGGGCUGUUCGAAGACACGAACCUGUGCGCCAUCCAUGCCAAGCGCGUGACCAUCAUGCCCAAGGACAUCCAGUUGGCCCGCCGCAUCCGCGGGGAGCGGGCCUAAGCGAAAUCCGCUCCUGCUCCCAAGAAGGGCUCCAAAAAGGCUGUUACGAAAGUGCAGAAGAAGGACGGCAAGAAGCGCAAGCGCAGCCGCAAGGAGAGCUACUCCGUUUACGUGUACAAGGUGCUGAAGCAGGUCCACCCCGACACCGGCAUCUCGUCCAAGGCCAUGGGCAUCAUGAACUCCUUCGUCAACGACAUCUUCGAGCGCAUCGCGGGAGAGGCGUCCCGCCUGGCGCACUACAACAAGCGCUCCACCAUCACCUCCCGCGAGAUCCAGACGGCCGUGCGCCUG